rnacentral:miRNA from 1 species
GUGUAUGUGGAUGUGUGUAUGUGUGUAUGUGCAUGUGUGUAUGUGUGCAUGUGUGUAUGUGUGUAUGUGUGUAUGCAUGUGUGUAUGUGCAUGUGUGUAUUUGCAUGUGUGUAUGUGUGUA